CCUACGGGAGGCAGCAGUAGGGAAUAUUGGACAAUGGGCGAAAGCCUGAUCCAGCCAUGCCGCGUGAGUGAUGAAGGCCUUAGGUUGUAAAGCUCUUUCGCCAGGGACGAUAAUGACGGUACCCGCAGAAG
rnacentral:rRNA from 1 species